GCAAUCACUUAGCUCAUGCAAUGCUGUCUAGAAAGCAACAGAUAAUCCAUGUUAGAAAUCAACGGCAGACUGAAGAGCAAAUGAUCUGGGAUGACAAUGGCACAUAUUUAUGGCAAGUUUUAGUUUUGUUACUGCUCUAAAGAAUAAUGCAGCUAUGUCCAAGAACUUGGUUACAUGCGUCUGGACAGCAACAAUAACCAUUCUCACCUCACCACUGGAAUUCAACACUUCUGUGUCUGGACACAGACUGCCAAUGGAUCUAGAGCUGCAUAAACAUUUGACUGCUGUUCAAUUGAAGGAUGUUGACUUGGGGCAUGACUAAAGGCUUGAGUUGGCUGCAGUUCUGUGAAGACAGGG